AACGAACGCUGGCGGCAUGCCUAACACAUGCAAGUCGAACGAGACCUUCGGGUCUAGUGGCGCACGGGUGCGUAACGCGUGGGAAUCUGCCCUUGGGUUCAGAAUAACAGUUGGAAACGACUGCUAAUACCGGAUGAUGACGUAAGUCCAAAGAUUUAUCGCCCAAGGAUGAGCCCGCGUAGGAUUAGCUAGUUGGUGAGGUAAAGGCUCACCAAGGCGACGAUCCUUAGCUGGUCUGAGAGGAUGAUCAGCCACACUGGGACUGAGACACGGCCCAGACUCCUACGGGAGGCAGCAGUGGGGAAUAUUGGACAAUGGGCGAAAGCCUGAUCCAGCAAUGCCGCGUGAGUGAUGAAGGCCUUAGGGUUGUAAAGCUCUUUUACCCGGGAUGAUAAUGACAGUACCGGGAGAAUAAGCUCCGGCUAACUCCGUG
rnacentral:rRNA from 1 species